rnacentral:rRNA from 1 species
UACCGGCGCCUCAAGUGGUAGUCGCUUUUAUUGGGCCUAAAGCAUCCGUAGCCUGUUCUGUAAGUUUUCGGUUAAAUCCAUAAGCUCAACUUAUGGGCUGCCGAAAAUACUGCAGAACUAGGGAGUGGGAGAGGUAGACGGUACUCGGUAGGAAGGGGUAAAAUCCUUUGAUCUAUUGAUGACCACCUGUGGCGAAGGCGGUCUACCAGAACACGUUCGACGGUGAGGGAUGAAAGCUGGGGGAGCAAACCGG